GAAAUGCGAUAAGUAGUGUGAAUUGCAGAAUUCAGUGAAUCAUCGAAUCUUUGAACGCACAUUGCGCCCCUCGGUAUUCCGUGGGGCAUGCCUGUUCGAGCGUCAUUUUACCCCUCAAGCUCCGCUUGGUGUUGGGUGUCUUGUCCCGCUUCGCAUGUGGACUCGCCCUAAAGGUAUUGGCGGCGGUCGUGCCAGCUUCUCGCGCAGCACAGUGCGCUUCUUGAGGCCCGGCGGACCUGCGUCCAUCAAGCCCUCCUCCAGAUUGACCUCGGAUCAGGUAGGAAUACCCGCUGAACUUAA
rnacentral:misc_RNA from 1 species